AGAGAUGACGUUUAAUUAUGUGCAGAUUCACAAUUGAAAUGGGAACAGAAGCGUGUUAUAUUACGGAAUGUAUGCUUUUUCCUAGAUAUUAUAACGUGGUUGAUGGCUUUUGGGCAUUAUGUGUAUGCAUGGAGGCUUAAAGGCAAGGCAUACCUUAUGCUUAACCUAUCGUUUAUGGAUAUCAUUUCAGUGCAUGGUUUAUUGAGUUAAGAAUGGCUUAGAGAACCCUUCAUUAGGAACUUAGUGGAUGGAGAGCUUGUGUAUAAGUUCAUUAGGAUUUAAUCAUCAUCUAAUUAUGUUUGUAAGUUUAUUUAUCGUUGUUUAUCACCUGGGGUUUGGUGACUAUAUUAUAUCACCGGUUGUGGACAUUUAGUUUGUGGUCAUGUGAGUUGCUUUGGAUUUGACAUGUGAUUAAGUUGUUCAAUUAGGUUUUCUUUUCUUUUGAUCAUGCAUAUCUAUCCGUUUAUAUAAUUCUUUAUUGUUUCAAUCCCAUUUAUAGUUCAUAGUUAAUUUUAUCUUGCAAUAAGGACUGAAAAAGGCUUUUGUAACAAGAACAGUUUUUUAAAUACUGCAUGAUUUGAAAUGGUAGUCAAACCCCCCAAGAAUACCACUGAACCUCUUUGAGAAGUGUUAUCCAACACUUGGUGUGCCAUCUUCCAAACACAAUAUCUCUUUGUGGAGGGACCUCAUUUUGAAUUCGAAUCAGCAAAAAAUUUGUAAUUCAACAAAACAAAACGGAUUGUACCUUCUUUGUUAUUUAAACUCGAAAUUGAAAAUUUUCCGAAAAAAAAAAAAAAAAAAAAAAAAAAAGAAGCGCACCCCACUGAUGUGAAAUUUAAAUUCUGAAAAUUAUGCCUUCAUCUUUAUCAAAUCCUUUGUGAAAACCCAAACCCGUUUUCUUCGCCCUUGAUUGAUCCUUUGUGAAAAUUAAUUCUGCCUAAAGUUGUGAUCAAUUUCUGAAAAUUUGAACCGAAGCCGAAACCCAAAACAAUGGGUUCAGUUUAUUGGUUUUC